CCCCCGCCUAGUUUUAGCGGACGAAGAGCCGGACACCUUCACCGGCCUGACGGGGGUUUCUUAUUUGAAGG
rnacentral:sRNA from 1 species